GUGAAAUAAUACUUAAAAACGGUUUAACAAAGCAAAUUAGAAGAAAGUAUAUAAACUAAGAAGAAUAAUUAGUUAUGGUAGCAAUUAAUUAUCUUACAAUGCUAAUACUGAUAUUUGAAAUAAUGUAUUGAAACGAAGCAGCUACCUCAAACGGACAGACGGACGGACAGGCAGGCAUGCAGGCAGACAGGCAGGCUGUAUAAUGGAGAAAAUAUACCGCUUUCCAAGCCAAAGUGCGGAUUUCAAUGCAGGCAUAUCAGAGCAGAAAGCACACGCAACGCCCAAUGUAGAUAAUAAUGAUUUAACAAACAACCGCUGUUUCCAAUUGAAAUACAAUAUUUAUGUAUGAGAAACAGACAGUUUAGUAUGUUGACAUAUAUUUAAUUAGUCUUAUUUAUGCCUGUAACCUAUAGCUAAUUUCGGUUAUAAAUAAAUGUGCAAUGUUAUUUUAACACAGACAUUACGUAUGUGUGUAUGUUUUUAGUGAGUUUAUGAUAAUAACAUAUUUAAAAAUAUGUUUAUUUACAUACAUAUGUACUGUAAAAAUGUAUACAGGUAUAAAUGGUAACAUAAAAGAAAUUGUUAAGUAUCUGGUCCUAUUAAACGACCGUCGUAUUGUUGUAAUACUACUUUACGUAUUAAAUAAAACCACUGAUGAAAAAUAAACCUGACGGUCGUCCGUCUAUCCGUGUAUAAAAAGUUGAAAUUACAUAACUAUACUAUUUCAACUAACUUUCAUAGUAUCAGUUUGUUAUACAAUUUCUGUAUGACUGUUCUUAGUGAACAUUUCUAGCAAGUAAGAUGUUAAAUUAUGUAAAUGAAAUGUGAAACUACGAAAAAUAAAUAAUACUUACAC